rnacentral:tRNA from 1 species
GCCCGAGUGCUGGAACAGGCAGACAGGACGGUCUCAAAAACCGUUGUCCGUGAGGACGUGUCGGUUCGACCCCGACCUCGGGCACCA